GUGCAUCAGAAAAGGAGAGAUGACUGGCAGUCCCCUGCACAAGGUCGGGUAGGGCAUGUGAUGCCCACUCUCCUGAAGGCAUGACACAUCCACUACUUUCGGAUGACCUCUUCGACUUCC
rnacentral:ncRNA from 1 species